AAAAAGUUCUAAAUUUUCGGUUGCUAACUGCAACCUUCAUCAGAGUACUAAGAGCAGUUCGGAUAGUUCAAGGUUUUUUAAAUAUCGUCAUUAUUGCCACAUGAUUGCACAAGCGAUAAAUACAUGCGUGGGAAUUCUUUGUGUUCGUUAAUUGUUUUAUUGUCUAAUAUUGAAUGCAUCGACUCGAGGAACGUUCGUUUUUCUAAAUUAUGUACUCUUUUCUCUAAGAUUGUAGCAUUGUUAAUAGAGGCAUUGUGUCCUGUGCUUUCUGCGUGGUCUUUGAUUGCUGACUUAAUCUCCGGUCUUACGCCUGGUUUGUGUUCUGCCCAACGUGAUUUCCACGACCUCUUACUUUCUCCAACAUACUUAAAUGAACAAUCUGGACAUUCGAAUUUAUAAACAAUGCCUUUAAUCUCCGUGAUCUUCUGCUUGUCUUUUGGUUUACCAAAAAUGUCCCCUAAGCUUGGCAUGGGUUUAUAUAUUGUCUUAAUACCAGCACUUUUAAGCAGCUGUUUUAUCUGUUCUGAUAUGCCUUUCAUGUAUGGAAUACAAGAUAACCCUUUAAUUUCCGGUUCGUCAUUAGUGCUGGAAAACGACCUGCUGGAACUUGUCUGGAAGAUGAAUUUCUCUGGAUAUCCGUUGAGCUUUAAUUCUUGGAUAACACACUCCUUUUCUUGCUGUUUUUUAUUGUCAGUAGAAGGAAUGCUGUCGGCUCGAUCAAGUAAGGUCUUAACUACGGCUCGCUUACUUUGCGUGGGAUUAUGAGAGUGAAAGGAUAGAUAUUUAUUGGUAUGUGUAUCCUUACGGUAUACACUUACUUCAAUGGUACGGUUUUUAAGAAUGGUAAUGUGGGUAUCAAGGAAAGAAAUUGCUUCACCGUGGUUUGAUUCUGAUGGC